ACGAACGCUGGCGGCGUGCUUAACACCUGCAAGUCGAACGGAAAGGCCCUGCUUUUGUGGGGUGCUCGAGUGGCGAACGGGUGAGUAACACGUGAGUAACCUGCCCUUGACUUUGGGAUAACUUCAGGAAACUGGGGCUAAUACCGGAUAGGAGCUCCUGCUGCAUGGUGGGGGUUGGAAAGUCUCGGCGGUUGGGGAUGGACUCGCGGCUUAUCAGCUUGUUGGUGGGGUAGUGGCUUACCAAGGCUUUGACGGGUAGCCGGCCUGAGAGGGUGACCGGCCACAUUGGGACUGAGAUACGGCCCAGACUCCUACGGGAGGCAGCAGUGGGGAAUAUUGCACAAUGGGCGGAAGCCUGAUGCAGCAACGCCGCGUGCGGGAUGACGGCCUUCGGGUUGUAAACCGCUUUCGCCUGUGACGAAGCGUGAGUGACGGUAAUGGGUAAAGAAGCACCGGCUAACUACGUG
rnacentral:rRNA from 1 species